rnacentral:rRNA from 1 species
UAACGCGAAGAACCUUACCAGGUCUUGACAUCCUCUGACACUCCUAGAGAUAGGACUUUCCCCUUCGGGGGACAGAGUGACAGGUGGUGCAUGGUUGUCGUCAGCUCGUGUCGUGAGAUGUUGGGUUAAGUCCCGCAACGAGCGCAACCCUUGAUCUUAGUUGCCAGCAUUUAGUUGGGCACUCUAAGGUGACUGCCGGUGACAAACCGGAGGAAGGUGGGGAUGACGUCAAAUCAUCAUGCCCCUUAUGACCUGGGCUACACACGUGCUACAAUGGAUGGUACAAAGGGCAGCGAAGCCGCGAGGUGGAGCCAAUCCCAUAAAACCAUUCUCAGUUCGGAUUGUAGGCUGCAACUCGCCUACAUGAAGCCGGAAUCGCUAGUAAUCGCGGAUCAGCAUGCCGCGGUGAAUACGUUCCCGGGCCUUGUACACACCG